rnacentral:piRNA from 1 species
UGNGUUGAGCAUGCCAAGUAGUAAUG